UGGCUCGUCUGGGAUUUGAACCCGGGACCUCUCGCAUCCUAAGCGAGAAUCAUACCCAUAGACCAACGAGCC